GUUAGGAAUCUUGGGCAAUGGGCGAAAGCCUGACCCAGCCAUGCCGCGUGUGUGAAGAAGGCCUUCGGGUUGUAAAGCACUUUCAGUGGUGAAGAAAAGCUUGGGGCCAAUACCCCCGAGUUUUGACGUUAACCACAGAAGAAGCACCGGCUAACUCCGUGCCAGCAGCCGCGGUAAUACGGAGGGUGCAAACGUUAAUCGGAAUCACUGGGCGUAAAGCGCACGUAGGCGGUUCGUUAAGUGGGAUGUGAAAGCCCUGGGCUCAACCUGGGAAUUGCGUUCCAAACUGACGGACUAGAGUACGAUAGAGGGAGGUAGAAUUUCCUGUGUAGCGGUGAAAUGCGUAGAUAUAGGAAGGAAUACCUGUGGCGAAGGCGGCCUCCUGGAUCGAUACUGACGCUGAGGUGCGAAAGCGUGGGGAGCAAACAGGAUUAGAAACCCUGGUAGUCC
rnacentral:rRNA from 1 species